CAAACCCUAACCAACCCAGCGUGACGCGACUAGCCGACGCCGCCCCUGCACGCACGGACCCUCUUCUCGGCGAGAGCACACCACUUACUCGACCGAUGGCCAGCGCGCUGCUGCGUACGCCAUCCUCUGGUUGAAGGUGUCAAUAUCAUCCAUCCAUCCAUCCUACCCUUCAGCGGCGGGUCUCGACGCCCCACGGUGGUAUGGGCAGCUUCAACCCGAUGAUUGCGACGUAUCCUGCCCGCCGGGAGUCUCUUUCGUCGCCACCGCUGCCCAAAACAAAACAAGGCGCGCGCAGAAGCAGGGAGCCGAUCCUCUGGUUGAAUUUGUCCAUAGCAUCAGCGAGUCCUCCGUUUCUUUUGCAAGAUGUGUGGGGUAUGAUGGCUGGUGCUAUGGAUAAAUUCAACCUGAUGGUUGGGGCAUACCCGAUCUGAAGAAGAAACUUUGCUUGACCCUUGAUGGCUGGUGCUAUGGAUAAAUUCAACCCGAUGGUUGGGGCAUACCCGAUCUGAAGAAGAAACUUUGCUUGACAAUCAGGCUGAAAGCAGGGAGUCGAUCGGACUUCUUUUGGAGGAUGGGGAGGAUGGGGAGGAUGGUUUUGGCUAUGGAUGAAUUCCACCGGAUGAUACAUAUUCGGCCACCGCUUUAAACAGUUGCCCUGAUUCAUGUUCUCAGAUGUAUACUUGGUAGUACCAAGGACCAAGAUCUGGGUAGUGCUAAGGAGAUGAAGAGGGUUCCAUGUGAUUCAAGACCUUGCUGGUGUUUGUCUAAGUUGUACUGUGUCCUACAACAUGGAUCGUAUAUAUCUGUUGGCUUUCAGGUUCAGUUUGCUCAGGCAAAUUCUGCUUGAAUUUGUUGCA